GACGAACGCUGGCGGCGUGCCUAACACAUGCAAGUCGAACGGAGAUAGUUAAUGAAGCUUGCGAUUUAGCUAUCUUAGUGGCGAACGGGUGAGUAACGCGUGGGUAACCUGCCCUUAAGACCGGGACAACAGCUGGAAACGGCUGCUAAUACCGGAUGUAUUGUCCGAGAGGCAUCUCUUGGAGAAGAAAGCUGGCCUCUGAAAAUGCUAGCGCUUAGGGAUGGACCCGCGUCUGAUUAGCUAGUUGGUGGGGUAGCGGCCUACCAAGGCGACGAUCAGUAGCCGGCCUGAGAGGGUAAACGGCCACACUGGGACUGAGACACGGCCCAGACUCCUACGGGAGGCAGCAGUGGGGAAUCUUCCGCAAUGGACGAAAGUCUGACGGAGCAACGCCGCGUGUAUGAAGAAGGCCUUCGGGUUGUAAAAUACUGUUGUUAGGGAAGAACGGCAUCUGUGUAAAUAAUGCAGGUGAUUGACGGUACCUAACGAGGAAGCCCCGGCUAACUACGUGCCAGCAGCCGCGGUAAUACGUAGGGGGCAAGCGUUGUCCGGAAUCAUUGGGCGUAAAGGGCGCGUAGGCGGCUAUAUAAGUCUGAUGUGAAAGUGCGGAGCUUAACU
rnacentral:rRNA from 1 species